rnacentral:rRNA from 1 species
AAAGGAAUAGACGGGGGCCCGCACAAGCAGCGGAGCGUGUGGUUUAAUUCGAUGCAACACGAAGAACCUUACCAGGGCUUGACAUGUUGGAAGUAGUGAACCGAAAGGGGAACGACCUGUUAAGUCAGGAGCCAUCACAGGUGCUGCAUGGCUGUCGUCAGCUCGUGCCGUGAGGUGUCGGGUUAAGUCCCAUAACGAGCGCAACCCCUGUUGCCAGUUAUUUUCUCUGGCGAGACUGCCCCGCAAAACGGGGAGGAAGGCGGGGAUGAUGUCAAGUCAGUAUGGCCCUUAUGCCCUGGGCUACACACACGCUACAAUGGGUGGUACAAUUGGUUGCAAUGGAGCGAUCCGGAGCUAAUCCGUAAAACCACUCACAGUUCGGAUUGCAGGCUGAAACCCGCCUGCAUGAAGUCGGAGUUGCUAGUAACCGCGUAUCAGCAUGGCGCGGUGAAUACGUUCUCGGGCCUUGUACACACCGCCCGU